GAUGAACGCUGGCGGCGUGCUUAACACAUGCAAGUCGAACGAAGCACUUUAUUUGAUUUCCUUCGGGAUUGAUUAUUUGGUGACUGAGUGGCGGACGGGUGAGUAACGCGUGGGUAACCUGCCUUGUACAGGGGGAUAACAGUUGGAAACGGCUGCUAAUACCGCAUAAGCGCACAGCAUCGCAUGAUGCAGUGUGAAAAACUCCGGUGGUAUAAGAUGGACCCGCGUUGGAUUAGCUAGUUGGUGAGGUAACGGCCCACCAAGGCGACGAUCCAUAGCCGACCUGAGAGGGUGACCGGCCACAUUGGGACUGAGACACGGCCCAAACUCCUACGGGAGGCAGCAGUGGGGAAUAUUGCACAAUGGGCGAAAGCCUGAUGCAGCGACGCCGCGUGAGCGAAGAAGUAUUUCGGUAUGUAAAGCUCUAUCAGCAGGGAAGAUAAUGACGGUACCUGACUAAGAAGCACCGGCUAAAUACGUGCCAGCAGCCGCGGUAAUACGUAUGGUGCAAGCGUUAUCCGGAUUUACUGGGUGUAAAGGGAGCGCAGGCGGUGCGGCAAGUCUGAUGUGAAAGCCCGGGGCUCAACCCCGGUACUGCAUUGGAAACUGUCGUACUAGAGUGUCGGAGGGGUAAGCGGAAUUCCUAGUGUAGCGGUGAAAUGCGUAGAUAUUAGGAGGAACACCAGUGGCGAAGGCGGCUUACUGGACGAUAACUGACGCUGAGGCUCGAAAGCGUGGGGAGCAAACAGGAUUCCAUACCCUGGUAGUCCACGCCGUAAACGAUCAAUAAGAGGUGUUGGGAAGCAUCGCUUCUCGGGGCCGUCGCAAACGCAAGUAAGUAUUCCACCUGGGGAGUACGUUCGCAAAGAAAGAAACUCAAAGGAAUAGACGGGGACCCGCCCAACCGGUGGAGCAUGUGGUUUUAAUUUGAAGCAACGCGAAGAACCUUACCAAGUCUUGACAUCCUUCUGACCGGUAGUUAACCGUACCUUCUCUUCGGAGCAGGAGAGACAGGUGGUGCAUGGUUGUCGUCAGCUCGUGUCGUGAGAUGUUGGGUUAAGUCCCGCACCGAGCGCAACCCUUAUCUUUAGUAGCCAGCGGUUCGGCCGGGCACUCUAGAGAGACUGCCAGGGAUAACCUGGAGGAAGGCGGGGAGGACGUCAAAUCAUCAUGCCCCCUAUGACUUGGGCUACACACGUGCUACAAUGGCGUAAACAAAGGGAAGCAAAGCUGUGAAGCCGAGCAAAUCUCAAAAAUAACGUCUCAGUUCGGACUGUAGUCUGCAACCCGACUACACGAAGCUGGAAUCGCUAGUAAUCGCAGAUCAGAAUGGUGCG
rnacentral:rRNA from 1 species